UUUCUGUGGUUCACUGAGAUAGUGUUCCCUUUUGCUGGCAUUUAACCUUAACAUGAAUGUAGUCAUUGUUGGGGUGCACAGACUCACUGCUUGCUAAAACAUCUGACUGGCAGCUGGGAUGUCAGAGGCUCAGAGGGAAAGCUGAUGUGUCACCAGCACUGCUAUCAGCCUUAUGGUGGAAGAGACCAUUUGUGCCACCUUGACUGAGCUAUAGAAAGCAGCUGGAGAGCAGCCCACGACCUGUCCCAUCUCCUGUAGGCUGUGGCCAUUGUGUCUGUGGUGUGCUGUGCUCCUCUCUCCUGGGAAAGAUGCCCAGAGCUGCAGAAGAACAUUCUGUGACCCAGUGACAUGCUGUCUGCCUUUGGAGAUGGGCUUAGUGCCGUCCAUGUCCAGACAGGUUUUGGAUGUCUUGGAGAAUGGAGACUCUACAACCUCCCUGGGCAACUGAUGCCAGUGCCUGGUUACUCUCACAGUGAAGAAGUGUUUCCUGAUGUUCAGAUGAUUUCAGUUUGUGCCCAUUGCCUCCGGUGCUGUGAAUCAUACUGGAUUUGCAAAUGCUUUGUUUGCUCCUUUUGUUUUCCUGACUUAGAAGAAGUGGAGUGUUUGAAGAAUCAGCAGAAUCAAAGUUAACUUUAGAAAUAGUUUAAAUAUAAGAGGGAUUAACCCUGACUUUAAGAAGUGCUGCCCUGCCUAGAUUUGAAAAAGUUUGAAUAUGCACAAAGGAUAUAACUGGAAAGAAUGUUAAAAGAAAAUAUUACCAUUAGUUAUGUUAGUAAAGUUCCUUUGCUGAAAUCGUAUGACAAUUUUAGAUGGUAAGCUACUUUUUAUAGAAUGGAAGGACUCUCAAAUCUGCAUAUUAAAGACUGAGACAGUCAUAUAUGAAGAGUAUUUUUUCUGAAUAAAGUUUCAUAUAUGUGAUUCA
rnacentral:lncRNA from 1 species